UGGGGCGUGGCCAAGCGGUAAGGCGCCGGCCUUUGGAGCCGGUAUUCGAAGGUUCGAAUCCUUCCGCCCCAACCA
rnacentral:tRNA from 4 species